GAUGAACGCUAGCGGCAGGCUUAAUACAUGCAAGUCGAGGGGCAGCACAGAUAGCAAUAUUGGGUGGCGACCGGCAAACGGGUGCGUAACACGUACACAACUUUCCGUUAAGUGGGAAUAGCCUAAAGAAAUUUGGAUUAAUACCCCGUAACAUAUAGAGAUGGCAUCAUUUUAUAUUAUAGGCGCAAGCCGCUUGAUGAUGGGUGUGCGGCUGAUUAGGUAGNGGCGGGGUAACGGCCCACCAAGCCUUCGAUCAGUAGCUGAUGUGAGAGCAUGAUCAGCCACACGGGCACUGA
rnacentral:rRNA from 1 species